UACAGGAUACCCGUAGAGUUUAAUCGGGCCCGGAGAGUUUUAACUUGGCUUACGGAAUUUUUGACAGGGGCCCCAAAAACUUUUAACUGGCCUGCCCAUGACUUCAGGAUAAGCCCGGGAAACUGGGUCUAAUACCGGAUAUGACUUCCUGCUGCAUGGCAGGGGGUGGAAAGAUUUAUCGGUUGGGGAUGGACUCGCGGCCUAUCAGCUUGUUGGUGAGGUAAUGGCUCACCAAGGCGACGACGGGUAGCCGGCCUGAGAGGGUGACCGGCCACACUGGGACUGAAACACGGCCCAAACUCCUACGGGAGGCAGCAGUGGGGAAUAUUGCACAAUGGGCGAAAGCCUGAUGCAGCGACGCCGCGUGAGGGAUGACGGCCUUCGGGUUGUAAACCUCUUUCAGUAGGGAAGAAGCCCCUUUUGGGGGUGACGGUACUUGCAGAAGAAGCGCCGGCUAACUACGUGCCAGCAGCCGCGGUAAUACGUAGGGCGCAAGCGUUAUCCGGAAUUAUUGGGCGUAAAGAGCUCGUAGGCGGUUUGUCGCGUCUGCCGUGAAAGUCCGAGGCUCAACCUCGGAUCUGCGGUGGGUACGGGCAGACUAAAGUGAUGUAGGGGAGACUGGAAUCCCU
rnacentral:rRNA from 1 species